ACUGACAAGUGCAAAGAAGAAACCUGUCCAAACCCUGGAAAUAUUCAAGUCAAAGACUGUGGUCGAUAUGAGACCUGCCAAGAGAACAAAUGCAUAUUUGACGCCAUCUGCACUUUCACCGGACCCUCCAUCAUUUCUGCAAGUGGCUCAAUUGGCAACAUCACAGAUCGGUGUGAUUACAAGUUGUUUGCGUCUUCAGCAGUCGAUUUUAUCACAGUAGAGGGAAAAUAUGGGACACGCCGACGCACAGACGUGAGCUUUUUGGACACGGUGGUGAUAAAACUCGGGUCUGCUGCAUAUUACCUGGAGCAAGGUGGAAGAGUCAAGGCAGGAAAUCAAAUUCUAAACCUAACUACUCCAAAAGUCUUCGACUCCCUGGAAAUCUCUAAAAAUGAAAAAGGAGUCACCGCCUUCUUUCAAACUAAUACUUUGAAUGCCUCUGUCUACUUUGAUGGCUACACUGCUCAGAUCCACCUCCAUGGUAAAGA